rnacentral:misc_RNA from 1 species
CGAAAUUUGAAUGGUUUGCAGUUUGAAAAAAUUCUUCGUUGAGGAUAGAUCGCUAUUUUUUAGGAGUAAAGCAAAUUCGAACGAGUUCAACGAAUAUUUCUUGUGCUUGACAGACACAAAACAAAUCGAUCAAAAUGUUCAAAAACCAUUUGGAAAUGAUUGGGCGCAAUGAGAGCCCCAGCAAGAAGGCCAAAUUCUGGCAAUCCUACAUCAGAUCCCUGAAGGGCUCCGAGGAUAUUCGUGCCCAUGAAGCGCCAAGAGCAUCUCGCCCAUACAGCUCGUACCUGGAUUCGCCCACAUACAGGAGCAUCUACGAUGAGCCCGCAACGGCCAACGAGCGCGUUCAGUCAUCUGGCUACAGAUACUUGCCAGUGAGCCGCGACACCUACGGCUACUCGCCACGUGCCAUCUACGAUCAUCAUUACAGCAGAACAAUUCCAGCUAAUUACGAUGCAGAGAAGGCAUGGAAUGAUCAUUUGAAGCGCAUGCAAGAAAUCGAGCGCAGAUACCCAUCUCGCUAUGGUCUCUAUUUGAGAGACAAGCCACUCACACCAAACUCUUUGGUGCCUUUGGAAUACGAGCCAGAGGAUAAGCUGUUGGCUGAACUCAACAAGGCACGCCGCUCGGCCUCGCCGUUCCGUCCCAGCCGCACGAGCCGGGCUGGCAGCGAGCCCUACGUGCCUCCGCCAGUCUACUGGAACCGUGAGAGCAGCGUGCCACGUGGUGGACCAUCGGUGUUCGAUCGGGCCACCAGCUUGGCUCCGUUCACGCGGCCAAGCUUCCGUGCCAGCUCGCUGGAGCCGUUGGAUGAACUCUUUGAAAGACUUCCAAUCUUCCAUCCACGCAACCGCUUCAGGGAUAUGCUGAGCCCCAGCCCCAAGCUGCCGAUCUCGUCGAUUGUGCGCGAUCCCUUCUGGUGGGAUGUGGAUGAUCUGGUGCCCUUCCGUGCCACCUCGGUGCCCCGCGCGUCGAGCCCCGUGGCCCGUGAUUCGUAUUUGUCGCCGGUGAAGAAUCGCUAUCUAUGGUCGAGACACCCAGCUAGACCCCUGACACCUGAGGCAGAGGAUAUUUUCUAAAACAUAAAAAUGAAACAUAAACAUCAAAAUAAAGCCAAAUCACAACUCAAAAUCGUUAGCUCUAAUAACAACCGAUGCUAUAUCACAUAGCACUUCUGUAAUUUUUUUGUACUUUAAUUUACAUAAAUUACAUGUAACGAAAUGCAAUACAAACAAAUUGCUCACCGCUCAAUUUUGUAAACGAACGAAAACGAACUAUGAAACAACAACAACAACUACACUUACAACAACAACAACAACAACGAAUGCAUCAAUGGGGUCCCCAAUAACCAACAACGACUAGCUUUUUGGUUUCCAAGUCAAGAACCGGAAAUCAGUGAAAGUAGCAAAAUAUAUCUAUAUAAAGACUAUAUAUAUAGCCUUUGAGUCCUCAACAACGAUUGAAUUUUUUCAAAACUGCCAGCCCCAGAAGAUCCGGGUGCUGCCUCCACUUUAAUAAUUGCCAUCAAGUGCUUACUUCCCGUAGUAAAUAUAAUAGCAAACAUAAUAUUUAUAUAAUAAAAGAAGGAGAAGAAUCCAAAGGGAAACCUUUUUAACAACAA